GAUUAAUGCAUGUCAGCGAACAGUGAUCGUACCGUUGGUGGGUGUGGGUACGACCUGGUCUGGUCGUCGAUGGAUAGAAUUUUAUCUUGGAUCUCCUUCGUCUUGGUCGUCGCCCUUGCUCCGCCGCUCAUCUCUCCUCCACUAGCUAGCUAGUGCAGGACGAGCGAAAACUUGCACAUCCAUCCAUCUCCAAGCUCAAGGUAGUAGCCUACGCCGCCUACGGUGGGGUGUGGCGAUGUGGGGCGUCCUGGGCAACGCGGCCACCGUUGCGCAGCUGGUCGGGGUCGACGCCGCCGGGCUCAUCGCCAAGAUCCGGCAGGCUGCGCGGACGGCUCAGCAGAACAACAACGACUGUGAGCUCCUAGCGCGCCGCGUCGACAUGCUCGGCGAGCUCCUCCCACGCCUGAUGCGGCAGGACCCGGAGGCCGUGCGGGCGCUUGCCGGGCUGGACCGCACGCUGUCGGAGGCGCACGAGCUCGUCAUGUCCUGCCAGGGGAGGGGCCGGACGUACAGGUUGUUCACGGCCUCCAGGAUGGCCGACAGGUUCAGGGACGUCGAGAAGAAGAUCGACUCCUACCUCUCGCUCAUCCCAGCAAUCAGCUACAUCUGCAUUACCAGCCGUCUCGACGAUGCAAAUCAGCUACAUCAUCAGCAAUCAUCCGCCCUUUUCCAGCAGCAGCAGGAGCUGGGACUAGCUGAGGAUCGGGAGUUCAAGCUUGCCGAGAUCGCGGUGGCAACCGACAACUUCGCCGUCGUGCUCAGCGACGACGCCGACACUGGCACCAAGGUGUACAAGGGCAAGCUCCACAACGGCUGCGAGGUGGCUGUCAAGAGCCUGAACCGCCGUGCGCGCCCAGGCGCGGAUGACGCCUUCUUCCAGGAGCAGCAGAUCCUCUGGCCGCUCCGGCACGACCACAUCGUCUGCCUCCUGGGCACCUGCGCCGAGAACGACGAGCGCAUGCUGGUCACCCAGUACAUGCCCAACGGCUCCCUCUACGACCACCUGCACGGCCGCAGCAGGCACCAGUCGCCGCCGUCGCCGGUGACCACGUCCUGGAAGUCGCGCGUCCAGGUGCUGCUAGGCGCGGCGCGCGCCGUCGAGCACCUGCACUGCCACGCCGUGCCGCUCAUCAUCCACGGCAACGUUGCCUCCUCCAACGUGCUCCUGGACGCCGCCUGGGCGCCGCGCCUGUCUGGCUUUGGCUCGUCCGUGUGGCGGGCUGCCGGCGUCGCGUCACAGGCUGUGGAGGUCGCCGGCGCCGGCGCCGGAGCUACUAGGUCGUGCAGCGCUGACCCGGAGUACUGCAGCACGGGCCGCAUCAAACCGGCCAGCGAUGUUUACGGGCUCGGUGUGGUGAUGCUUGAGGUUCUGACGGGGCACCCACCGGCGGUGAGUGUCUGGGACGAGGCGAAGCAGAAGGUGGUGCCCAUGUCGUUGCCGUCGUUCGUGCUGCCGAGCAUCCAGGCAGGGCGGCUUGGGGACGUGCUCGACAGGCGUCCGGCGCCAGGCGGGUGGCAUCAACUCCAGCCGCUGCAGCUGGUGGCCGACAUGGCGGUGCGAUGUCUGUGCCUGCAUGGGGAUAACCGCCCCGCCAUAUCAGAGGUCGUCGUCAACCUCGAGCAGGCACUCCGCCGCCUCAUAUGAAAACAGCAUGCGUGCAUCAUGUGACGAGGCAUCUCUGGCCACUUCUCAAGGUUCUUCAUAUCAUUUGGCAGGAGGUUUAGGUAGUAAUAGUCACUCCAAUCCAAGGUUGCACCUUUCUCAACUCCAAGGCGGCUCCCAUAGCCCUCGUAUGUCACCGGGAUGUCGGAGAAGCAUGCAAGAUCAAUGAUAGGGAUGCUAAGAUCAGGACAAUUCAUGCUAGUUAUGCUACCACAAGGACGCUCAGAUGGAG